rnacentral:misc_RNA from 1 species
UUAAGUUCAGCGGGUAGUCCUACCUGAUUUGAGGUCAAAAUUGUCAUAAAUUGUCCAAGCUAAUGGACCGUUAGCAGCAGCGAACAGCGCGACAUCCAAUGGCGUAGAUAGUUAUCACACCAAUGGCCAUCAAGGUCACCGCUAAUGCAUUUCAGGGGAGCUGACUCUGUGAAGAGCCUGCAGAAAUCCCCCACAUCCAA